ACACUCAUGACCCACCAGCUUGUAUCCUUGACUUCCUUUACUUUGUGACGAAACCCAACUCCAUUCAUGAAGAAAAAUGCGAGCUUUCAGCUUGGAGAGAGAGGGGGAUUGUUGAGACUUGAGAGUGUUUGUGCUUGCCUUGUGGUGUUGUUGUUGAGAGAGAAGGACAAUGCUCUCUGUUGUGUGAUUUAGAUUGGCAGUGGAUUGAGGAGCAGAAGAAACUAUGUAGCCAAAGAUAUAAAAUUCGGGUUUUUGGCCUGGGCUCUUUGUCUUAUGCUAAAGGGUGUGGUGGAGCUUGCUGUAGCCGUCAAAGUCACCAUGGGUCCUAAGCUUGCUGGUGCUACUGUGCAGUGGACUGGAAAGCAAUUUUUUUUAGUGUAGCUUGGUUGGUUUGUCAACUCAGGGAGGAAUAUGAAGUCUCCCUACCAAAAAUAUAAAAUUCGGGGUUUUGGCCCAGGCUCUUUGUCUUAUGCUAAAGGGUGUGGAGGAGCUUGCUGUCGCUGUCAAAUUUACCAUGGGUCCUAAGGUAUAUUCUAUGGCUACCAUAUGACACCAUUCUUUAAUAAUGUCUCAAUAAGAAUUUGGAUUAGCAUUGCUCUUUUUACUGACUUUAGGCCAAAAAUUUAAUUAUUUGUUGAAGUUCUCUAUAUCUGCUUCUUCAUAUAGCAGAUUUUGAAAUGGAUGGGAGAUAUGGUGCAAUAAAUGAGGUGACUAUUAUGUUACACUAUUGAAGGGUUGAGGAAAGACAUUAUAAAUGCAAUUGUUUUGGUUGUGCAAUACAGUUUACCUUGUCCAUUACCUUGUACUUAAGGCGUUACAUGACAGAUAGAAUAUAUAUUGAUCUCAUAUGCUUGGUUGUGAAUCUAUGUAGUCAUUUUUAAAAGUUAAAAUUGUGCUUCCAAUGAGCUGUAUUGUUUUACACCUUUUCUUUUUGGAUACAAGCAAGGCAUGAGUAGAUUGCAUACUAGUUUGUAAAAGCCACUGAAAUUUGCUGGACUGAGGUUAGCUGAACGGACAAAAAGCUCUAGGAAUCAAGCUCAGAUGAGUUGGCUGCGGCUGGCCCUAGAUCAGUCAGGAUGCCAAAUUACCUAUUACCAUCGCAGGCCAGGAUAGUUUGCCCUGCCUUGAUAACUCUAUGUAUCCUAAUAAGCCAAUCUAUGGACUAAGAAGAACAGCGUAUCAAAAUGGAUAUUGGAUCAGGUCAAUAAGCCGGCUUACACAGUCACUAAGCAUCACAAGUUCAGAAUUGCAUCUAGGGACUGGAGGCAUUCUAGGCAUCAAUUAUAUCAGUGAACGCUUUUGUCAACUUCAAAAUGACUGUCAGAUUAAAUAUCAAAAUACUUAUUUUAAAUUGUCCAUUUUGAUUUGCAAGAACGGAUGCUUAGUCCUAAAU